ACUGUGGUUCUAAGUGAGGCCAGUAGUGGAUGAGUUCGGACUGAGGUGUGUUUUCCCUCCUUCAGCUUUGCUGUACCACUUUGCUUGCUCAGGAGAUCAUGUGAUCUGAUAUUCUUCUCAUCCAUUCUACACAGAAACCUGUAAGCUGCCCCUUGAACAAGUCCCACGUAAUUUUGAUGUUUGCACACUAUGGUCAUCUCCAUUGGAUUGCACUGUACAAGGAAAAGAAAGAGUUAUCCCAGGAAUAUUAUACUCUUCCUUGUCUACAGACUGUUUCAUCCACAUGUCACUUCUGGAUAUAUGAAUAUCAUCCAGAAAAAGAGGAGGUCUUCUUGGCUCAGCAAGAAAUAUGUUAAUCCUCCCUGUGUGUGUGUCCUUUUAUUAAAUAAUUGCAUCUGCAUCCCUUAGUUGCUACAAAUAUUCUACAAAUAAAAUGAUU